rnacentral:rRNA from 1 species
AACGAACGCUGGCGGCAUGCCUAACACAUGCAAGUCGAACGAGACCUUCGGGUCUAGUGGCGCACGGGUGCGUAACGCGUGGGAAUCUGCCCUCAGGUACGGAAUAACUCAGGGAAACUUGAGCUAAUACCGUAUAAUGACUUCGGUCCAAAGAUUUAUCGCCAGAGGAUGAGCCCGCGUAGGAUUAGCUAGUUGGUGAGGUAAAAGCUCACCAAGGCGACGAUCCUUAGCGGUCUGAGAGGAUGAUCAGCCACACUGGGACUGAGACACGGCCCAGACUCCUACGGGAGGCAGCAGUGGGGAAUAUUGGACAAUGGGCGAAAGCCUGAUCCAGCAAUGCCGCGUGAGUGAUGAAGGCCUUAGGGUU